rnacentral:rRNA from 1 species
GAUGAACGCUGGCGGCGUGCCUAAUACAUGCAAGUCGAGCGAACAGAUGAGGAGCUUGCUCCUCUGACGUUAGCGGCGGACGGGUGAGUAACGCGUGGAUAACCUACCUAUAAGACUGGGAUAACUUCGGGAAACCGGAGCUAAUACCGGAUAAUAUAUUGAACCGCAUGGUUCAAUAGUGAAAGACGGUUUUGCUGUCACUUAUAGAUGGAUCCGCGCCGCAUUAGCUAGUUGGUAAGGUAACGGCUUACCAAGGCAACGAUGCGUAGCCGACCUGAGAGGGUGAUCGGCCACACUGGAACUGAGACACGGUCCAGACGCCUACGGGAGGCAGCAGUAGGGAAUCUUCCGCAAUGGGCGAAAGCCUGACGGAGCAACGCCGCGUGAGUGAUGAAGGUCUUCGGAUCGUAAAACUCUGUUAUUAGGGAAGAACAAAUGUGUAAGUAACUAUGCACGUCUUGACGGUACCUAAGCAGAAAGCCACGGCUAACUACGU